rnacentral:rRNA from 1 species
UGGGGGAUAUUGCACAAUGGAGGAAACUCUGAUGCAGCAACGCCGCGUGAGGGAAGAAGGUCUUCGGAUUGUAAACCUUUGUCCUCGGUGACGAUAAUGACGGUAGCCGAGGAGGAAGCUCCGGCUAACUACGUGCCAGCAGCCGCGGUAAUACGUAGGGAGCAAGCGUUUUCCGGAUUUACUGGGUGUAAAGGUUGCGUAGGCGGCAAUGCAAGUCAGAUGUGAAAACUAUGGGCUUAACUCAUAGAUUACAUUUGAAACUGUGUUGCUUGAGUGAAGUAGAGGCAGGCGGAAUUCCCGGUGUAGCGGUGAAAUGCGUAGAGAUCGGGAGGAACACCUGUGUCGAAGGCGGCCUGCUGGGCUUUAACUGACGCUGAGGCACGAAAGCAUGGGUAGCAAACA